UACGAAGGGGGCUAGCGUUGCUCGGAAUUACUGGGCGUAAAGGGCGCGUAGGCGGCCUGGCAAAUGGAAGGUGAAAUCCCUCGGCUUAACCGAGGAACUGCCCUCCAAACUGCUUGGCUUGAGUCCGGGAGAGGUGAGUGGAAUUCCCAGUGUAGCGGUGAAAUGCGUAGAUAUUGGGAGGAACACCAGUGGCGAAGGCGGCUCACUGGACCGGAACUGACGCUGAGGCGCGAAAGCGUGGGGAGCAAACGGG
rnacentral:rRNA from 1 species